rnacentral:rRNA from 1 species
AGCUCCAGUAGCGUAUAUUAAAGUUGUUGCAGUUAAAAAGCUCGUAGUCAGAUUUUGGAUUCUGCGAAUUGGUCUAGCUUUAUCGUUAGUAUUGGUUCGUGGGGUCUCUCUUUCUGGGGAAGCUGUUUGCUUUUUAUUAAGUGGGCAGUGAAUCCAGGACUUUUACUUUGAAAAAAUUAGAGUGUUUAAAGCAAGCAAUCGCUUGAAUACAUUAGCAUGGAAUAAUAGAAUAGGACUUUGGUUCUAUUUUGUUGGUUUCUAGGACCGAAGUAAUGAUUAAUAGGGAUAGUUGGGGGCAUUAGAAUCGACAUGUCAGAGGUGAAAUUCUUGAAUUUUUGUCGCGUCUAACUUCUGCGAAAGCAUUUGCCAAGGAUGUUUUCA